AAAAACGCUGUCUGUCGUUUUGCGUGCCGGGUUUUAACCCGAACGAAGCGGGCCGGCAGUCUGUUAGGAGGAUGACAAAUCCAAAGCAGAACUACCAUCACCACCUCCAGACCUGCAAAUUGAGGGGGAAAAAGGCUGAUCGGUCAUGGUGCUGUUAUGUUACAGUCUAGAAGCAGCUCCUACAUGGCGUAUCUCAGCAUCAGGCCUCUCAUGAGCGGAUUGCUUGUGGGGCACAGAACUCGGCAAUU